ensembl:misc_RNA Y_RNA Y RNA
AGCUGGUCCAAGUGCAGUGAUAUUUCCAACUAACUGGUCACAACCAGUUACAGAUUUCUUUGUUCCUUUUCCCCUCCCAGUGGUUCACUUGACUAGCCUUAA